UACGUAGGGUGCGAGCGUUAAUCGGAAUUACUGGGCGUAAAGCGUGCGCAGGCGGUUCGCUGUGUCCGAUGUGAAAGCCCCGGGCUUAACCUGGGAAUGGCAUUGGAAACUGGCGAGCUGGAGUGUGGCAGAGGGGGGUGGAAUUCCGCGUGUAGCAGUGAAAUGCGUAGAGAUGUGGAGGAACACCGAUGGCGAAGGCAGCCCCCUGGGCUAAGAUUGACGCUCAUGCACGAAAGCGUGGGGAGCAAACAGG
rnacentral:rRNA from 1 species